GACGAACGCUGGCGGCGUGCUUAACACAUGCAAGUCGAACGGAAAGGCCCCCACCUUGGUGGGGGUGCUCGAGUGGCGAACGGGUGAGUAACACGUGGGUGAUCUGCCCUGUACUUCGGGAUAAGCUUGGGAAACUGGGUCUAAUACCGGAUAGGACCAUGGUUUAGUGUCUCAUGGUGGAAAGAUUUUUUGGUGCAGGAUGAGCUCGCGGCCUAUCAGCUUGUUGGUGGGGUAAUGGCCUACCAAGGCGUCGACGGGUAGCCGGCCUGAGAGGGUGGACGGCCACAUUGGGACUGAGAUACGGCCCAGACUCCUACGGGAGGCAGCAGUGGGGAAUAUUGCACAAUGGGCGCAAGCCUGAUGCAGCGACGCCGCGUGGGGGAUGACGGCCUUCGGGUUGUAAACUCCUUUCGUUAGGGACGAAGCCGCACCUUUUUUGGG
rnacentral:rRNA from 1 species